rnacentral:rRNA from 1 species
GUAGGGAAUAUUGCGCAAUGGACGAAAGUCUGACGCAGCGACGCCGCGUGAGUGAUGAAGGCCUUAGGGUCGUAAAGCUCUGUUGAAUGGGAAGAAAAAAAUGACGGUACCAUUCGAGGAAGGACCGGCUAACUUCGUGCCAGCAGCCGCGGUAAUACGAGGGGUCCUAGCGUUGUUCGGAAUCAUUGGGCGUAAAGGGUGUGUAGGUGGCCAUGUAAGUCAGGUGUGAAAGCCCCGGGCUCAACCCGGGAAGUGCACUUGAUACUGCGUGGCUUGAGUACCGAAGAGGGUAGUGGAAUUCCAGGUGUAGUGGUGAAAUACGUAGAUAUCUGGAGAAACACCGGUGGCGAAGGCGGCUACCUGGUCGAGUACUGACACUGAGACACGAAAGCAUGGGGAUCAAACAGGAUUAGAUACCCGUGUAGUCC